rnacentral:rRNA from 1 species
UUGGAGGGCAAGUCUGGUGCCAGCAGCCGCGGUAAUUCCAGCUCCAAUAGCGUAUAUUAAAGUUGUUGCAGUUAAAAAGCUCGUAGUUGAAUUUCGGGGUUCAUCCGUUGGUCGGGCUUUUUGGUCUGUACUGGCGUGAUGAAUUCCUACCUUCUGAAUAACCAGCAUGUCAUUAAUUUGGUGCGCUGGGGAAGCAGGACUGUUACCUUGAAAAAAUUAGAGUGCUUAAAGCAGGCUAUCGCCUGAAUACAUUAGCAUGGAAUAAUGAAAUAGGACGGCAUGGUUCUAUUUUGUUGGUUUCUAGGAUCACCGUAAUGAUUAAUAGGGAUAGUUGGGGGCAUUAGUAUUCAAUUGUCAGAGGUGAAAUUCUUGGAUUUAUUGAAGACUAACUUCUGCGAAAGCAUUUGCCAAGGAUGUUUUCAUUAAUCAAGAACGAAAGUUAGGGGAUCGAAGACGAUCAGAUACCGUCGUAGUCUUAACCAUAAACUAUGCCGACUAGGGAUCGGACGAUGUUAAUUUUUUAAUGACUCGUUCGGCGCCUUACGGGAAAC